AAGACUAAGCUCUAAAAACAGAAAAUGGUAAAUGAUACAUUCCCUAAUGGCGAGAUCCACAGCCGAAAACAUCAGUGAAAAGAUACAGGCGCCACACCCUGGAUUUAGUAACUAACCGGUUCCUCUGUGGGCAGCACACCAUAGCUGUUGGAAUUUCCUCUGACAUGAGAACAGUGGUUGAUGAAAGCCAGUUUCUGGUGUCAUAUGGACUUCUGAGAAUCUGGUGAGAGACAUGCUUUUCCUCUCAUGAAUGUGA